GGCCAUUACGGCCGGGGGUGUUACAGAGGUGGUAUCAGAGCAUGGUUUCGUCCAUGCUUCCGGAACUCAUGAUUUAAUCGGUUUUAAAUAUUUAACGAGUCAAAAGAGUCACAAAAGGCAUUUGGGAAACCGGUCACGUCCAGCGAUAGGAUUUGUUGUUUUAGGAAUUAGGAUUGAGAUAGUGGAAUCUAGAACUGUUAUGUUGCUUGGGUAGAACUGUUAGGUUGCUGGUUAGCAUUGCUAGGUUGUUGUUAGUAGACUAUUGGGAUUAGUUGUCUACUAACUUGUGUGUGAAGUGUUCUUUUGAGUUGCAGCGAGUAAGUGUGUUUGUUGAUCGGAACUUAAAGGGAUGAAAACCUUAAAGUGGAGGGAGUUCGAGGCCAAACCCAAACCCGAAGCGAAAGAGGAGAGACAUUUUCAGAGGGACUGGAUAGUGGUAUGGACUAGACAGAUGGGAGGAAACAAGACUUCAUUGGGGAAGGACUUCAUCAGUAUUUGGGAAGACGAAGAUCGAGAAAGGAUUUGAGGAAUCUGGACAAGAUAAUAUCAUGGACAAUCAAGGUGUUAUGGCAGAAUAAUAGGAAGAGGACGACUCAGUCAAGAGAUAUGAAGACGAUUGUGGAGACCUUGAAGAGGACACUCAAGGAACCGUGGUGGACAGAGUAAAGAGGUUAUGGAGACGACUGGAGAGUGUUGUGAAGACGAGCAAUUUCGCAACUAAGAAUUCGAGGACGAAUUCUAUUAAGGGGGGGAGAAUGUAGAAACCCG
rnacentral:misc_RNA from 1 species